CCGGUUCUUGGGCAGAGGGUUUGGUUCAGUGCCCGGCGCUUUGAUGCCGAGGUUUUUCAAUUCAAUUAAGAUUUUUGUUAAUGUUUGUCUAUCUCAACAUCUUAAAAUGUCAGAUAUUUCUUCAAUAAAAGAGCUCUUUGAAAAUGGGUUGAUCAUUGAAAGAGAUUGAAAUCUGGAUCAGUUGAAGGCUAAUCCAUGUUCAUGGACAGAAAGACUCAAGACUGCACAGAAUUCAAAAGGACAAGAAGGAUAAGGCAAUUUAGCAGAAGGAGGAAGAGAAGGAAGAAGAGGAGGAAGAGGAGGAAGCGGGAAGGCACAUACCAUAAAGCUGUGUGGCAGGAGGAUGUAAUGUUCCUCUCCUUGCCUGCCUCUCCAGAAGGCGAACAGGCCCCCCUCGCCAUGUGGUCCACCAGAUGCACUGCGCUGCCACCGGCCUGGAGCAACAGAGCCAAAUGAUCACGGAAUAAAGCAUCUGAGACCACAAGCCAAAGUGAAAUGUUUCCUCUAAGUUGUUUAUCUCAGAUGUUUUGUCAUAGUGAUACAAAGCUAACAUAACUCUGGUAUUUCAAACCGCAAUGGCUCCCAAUGAAAAAAGACAGUCAUGGUCUGUCUAUUGCUUAUUAUUGCUGUUGCUAUGAUUAACACCAUGACCAAAAGCAGCUUGGCAAGGAAAGGGUUUAUUUCACUCUCGGUUUCAUAUAACAGUUGAUCAGCAAAAGUAUCGGGCAAGACCUCAAGUAGGGUGGGAACCUGGAGGCAGGAGCUGAUGCAGAGGCCGUAGAGGAUGCUGCUCACUGUCUUAGAUCCUGGGCACUCCUGUAUCUCCUGCCUGCUCCUUCCCCCUCCCCUUUCCUUCCUUGGCCAACUCCCAUUUACCUCCCAUGAUUGAGUUCAAUGGCUGUGGCUCAGAACAGCCAGGGCUCUUGACUCCUUGGAUGGUGUGAUUCCCUGCCACACACUCUUUGAGCCUCCGUUGCUCCUGAGCUCCAGGACCUUUAUUCAGUAUCUUUCCUUCCAGCAUCAUGAGAUCGGGGACUGUCUGUGGGAUGUGCUCCUGGAACCAUACCUGGCACCUGACAUGAUCUUUCAUUGACCUACGGCUCACUAAGAAGGCAAGACUGGAUAGCCAGCAAGUUCCAGGGGUCCUCCCGUCUCUGUCUCCCCAGCACUGGGAUUACAAGCAGGCCACCAUCCUUGGCUUUUUCUGUGGAUUCCGAGAAUUAGACUCAGAGCUUCAGACUUCUUCAGCAGGCAUUUCUCCUGCCCUGAGCUGAUAUGGGAUGGGCCUCUGUAUGCUGAGAAUGGGUUGCUUUUAUUGGUUGAUGAUUAAAGCUGUUUUGGCCAAUGGCCAGGCAGAAUAUAGCUAGGUGGGAAAUCCAGAGUUAGGGGGAAAAAAAAGAAGGUGGAGUCAGAGAGACGCCAUGUAGCAAGGGGGAAGUAAAAUGUGAGGUGACAAGUUACGAGGCUCAUGGUAAAAUAUAAACUAACAGAAAUGGGGUAAUUUAAUUGUGAGAGUUAGUAAUAUGCCUGAGCCAUUGGCCAAUCAAUUGUAAUUAACAUUAAGCUUCAGAGUGGUUAUUUAAUAAGCGGUUUUGGGAGCUGGCGGGACAGACAAGAAGCCUCCAAUUACACUGAGCCAGACAAUUAAAUGGAUGUAAAACAUACGCACAGAGAAAAGCAUGCAGACUUAUUUCAUGCAACUUUUACAUGACCCCGGAGCCUUCAUGAGAAAAAAAAAGACCCCCAAAUUCAGUUAGAGUUGAACAUUUGCAUAUGGAACUGGACAGAGAGUAGCCAAGUCCUGUGGAAACAAAUUAUAUGGGGUGGCUCAGGCGAGGUGAGAGUUAACAUGACACAGCCUGCACAGAGCUCCCUCCAUGCUAGCACCCCAUUGCAUUCCACCACCCCAUUUCUUUCUCUUUUGCAAGGUCUGCUGUAGUACAAGCUGGCUUCCAGCUUGCUACGUAGCUAGGAUGACCUAGAACUCCUGAUCCUCCUGCGUGGUGGGACUGCAGGCCUGCAUCGCCACUGUGAACUUCCACUGCUGACGGAAAUGCACUGCAAGGGCACAGUGGGGGCCUCCAUCAUGUGGAGAUGUCACCUCCUGCUUCAAGAAACAGAAAGAAGUUCUGGGGCGCCUCCUUGUUUGGUGUCACUAUUUUGACUCAAAAUAGUCUCUGCAGCCAGGUGGCAUGCUCUUAACUCCUUCUGUGGGAAGGAAACAGUGGGAAACAAUGCCUGAUUUUUUUUUAGGGGAAACCCUGUGUUUUCUCAAGCCUUUGUUUUGGGUUUGUUUUAACGGCACCUGCGUUUCUUGCAGUGGUUUUUCACAAAGAAACUUCCUUUCCAGAGUCACAAUAUUUCAACUCAUGUUCUUUCCCCCAGCAGGGAAAUAUUGGCAAACUCAGCCUUUGUUAGCCCGCUGACAUUGAUUGAAAUAGUCAUUUCCUCUGGGAAGCCUUUGCCAUGGAAACAAACUUGGAGCUUGGAUCUGAAUGUCUGAGUGAGAUGGAGUCCUCGGGUGCUACAACUUCUAAUGGCUGCCAGCCUUUUUCACAGAGCUAUCGAAGUUAAGAUCUGCAGGACAGGGCAAAGUAGUAUGUUCCCACUGGCUUGGCUGAUGCUAAGGAGCAAGGCAGAACAGUGUUGGGGCACACAUACUUACUGCUGGGAUGCCUGGAUUUUCAAGCCUCCCUCUGCUACUGCAAGUUGACUAUUCUGAGACUCAACUUCUGUCUCUACAGAAUUCCUAAGAUUGUUGUAAUUACUAGCCAGCACACUAAAUGGUACUUACAGAUGUCUCACUGUCAAUAAGAACUGUAGUUUACUGGAUAGCUGUACCCAGGAAAAUCCUUUACCCAUGAAAUACAUAUGGGCUGUAGUUCCAACUUUGUGAACAUUUGAUGUCUAUAUAAUUAAUUCAAGCUGUUAUAUGGCAAAAUACCCAAGGCUGGAUAAUGUAUGAAGAACAAAUUUAAUUUUUGUGCUGUGGUUGUAGAGAGGGUGUCAUCUGUGGAGGAGGGUGAGAAAGAGGUACACAGGAUCUUUCAGUGUUUCUGGAAUUACUUCAGAGGCUACAAAGCACCUAGAAGACUUCAAUUUGAUCAUGUGAUUCUUUGAAUAAAGACAUUUCCAGGAGACUGUGGGAUCCCUGAAGUUAAGGACUAUUUUCUCCUUGGUACCUACCACACUGCCUGAUAUAUCCUAGGCCUUCAACACUUUUUGGCUCAAUGAAUAAAGAAAGAAGUUGGGAUUCUGAAGGUAGCUACCAAGAGCUGAAGCAGAAAAAGAGAAACGAAUUGGUCCUGUUUGGGGAUGGGAAGAAAAAGGCAAGAAAAAGUUGAUGUACUAACUUUAUUUUUGUUUUUGUUUUUUCAAGACAGGGUUUCUCUGUGUAAUAACUCUGGCUG